AACAACACACAACAUGCAUACACUACACAGCAAAAUGACAUCUUCCUCAACACCAUUGUUGUACCUUUGCCUACUGCUGGUGCCAUGCCUUCUUCUCUUGGAAGAAGCACAUGCGGCGCAUCAUGGAGGGAUCUCACUGAGGUCUCAACACAUGGCCCUUCUCCAUUGGAAAGCUACACUUGUGAACCCGCCGCUGCAGAUGAGCUCUUGGGAGGAAAAUACUAGCCCAUGCAACUGGACGGGCAUCAUGUGCACGGCAGUUCGCCACGGCCGCCGCAUGCCCUGGGUGGUGACCAACAUCUCCCUUCCAGAUGCUGGCAUCCAUGACCAGCUUGGUGAGCUCAACUUCUCAGCUCUUCCAUUCCUCACAUCUAUUGAUCUUCAAAACAACAGUCUCCAUGGUGCACUGCCCGCUAGUAUCUGCUCCCUGUCAGCACUUUUGAUACUUGACCUUACCUACAACCAGCUCACAGGAAAAAUUCCCUAUGAGAUUGGUAACCUGCAAAGUCUCAGCUAUCUUGAUCUCUCAUUUAAUAGACUCACAGGACAUAUCCCCAUGUCUCUGGGCAACCUAACAAUGUUAAAUGUACUUGUCAUUCACCAAACCAUGGUAUCAGGUAGCAUUCUUGAGGAGUUUGGAAGGCUUGUCCACCUACAAAUUCUACAGCUAAGCAACAGCACCUUAAGCGGUUUUAUACCAAAAACCUUUGGAAAUCUGACCCAACUAAAUGUUUUGCUCCUGUUUGGUAAUCAACUCUCAGGGCCUAUACCCCAAGAACUAGGAUGGCUAGUCCAUCUGCAAAUUCUUGAGCUUGAUUCAAAUUAUUUUUCAGGUCCAAUUCCAAUCUCCAUAACUAAUCUCACUAAGAUUAACACAAUUUUUCUCUUUAAAAAUCAAAUCACUGGUCCAAUACCUUCAGAGUUGGGCAACUUGCUAAAUCUCCAGUUUUUAGUCUUAUUCGACAACCAAAUAUCUGGCUCUAUUCCUAACAGCUUAGGAAAUAUCACUGUUUCAAAUAGCCCGCUAUAGCUCCGCUAUAGCACGCUAUAGCGUUUAAAAAAGGUCUUGCGCUAAGAGACUUUGGUCCAAACAAAUGAACAAACAUUUUAAAUAGCGCGCUAUAGCUCCGCUAUAGCACGCUAUAGCAUUUGAAAGAGGUCUGGCACUAAGAUGCUUAGCGCGCUAUUUAAAACUUUGGGAAAUAUAACCAAGCUAGUAGUACUACACCUCUAUGAAAAUCAGAUAACUGGUUCCAUCCCCCAGCAAAUUGGCAAUCUGAUAAACCUCAAAUCCUUAGCCUUGUACCAGAACCAAAUUUCUGGAUUAAUACCAAAAUCUUUUGGGAAGUUGCAAAGCGUCCGAGCACUGCAAAUGUAUGAUAACAAAUUAUCAGGUUCUCUUCCUCACGAAUUCGGAGAUCUCAUAAGCCUUGAUAAUCUUGGGUUGUCUAACAACUCACUCUCAGGUCCUUUACCCGCAAAUAUAUGUUCAGGUGGCAGACUUAAAAUUCUCGCUGUCCAUUCUAAUAUGUUCACUGGCCCCAUUCCAAGAAGUUUAAAGACAUGUACUAGUCUGCUUAAAAUUAACAUUGAAAAGAACCAACUAACAGGAGAUAUAACUAGGCAUUUUGGUGUGUAUCCACAACUCACACUGAUGCGCUUGGCAUCAAAUAGACUCACCGGGCAGAUCUCACCAAAUCUAGGUGCAUGUACCCAGCUAACUGCCCUAACUCUAAGCAAAAAUAUGAUCACGGGUUCCAUACCUCCAAUCCUUUCUAAAUUGUCCAACCUAGAAGUACUAAAACUUGAUUAUAAUAAUCUCAACGGUAAAAUUCCAUAAGAAUUAUACACUUUAACUAAUUUGUACAGGCUGAAUUUAUCAUCAAACCACUUAUCUGGAUCCUUACCUACAGAGAUAGAAAAACUGAGCAAUCUAGGAUAUCUAGAUAUUUCUGGGAACAGACUGGGUGGAUUAAUACCUGAGGAACUAGGGGCCUGCAUAAACCUACAGUCCUUGAAGACGAAGAACAACUUUUUCACUGGAAAUUUGCCUGGUACGAUUGGAAAGUUAGCAGGUCUGCAGAUCAUGUUAGAUGUGAGCAACAAUAACCUCAGUGGCAUAUUGCCGCAACAACUUGAAAACUUAGGAAUGCUAGAGUUUCUGAAUUUAUCACAUAAUCAAUUCAGUGGCAGCAUUCCAUCCUCCUUUGCAAGCAUGGUGAUCCUUUCAACACUCGAUGUGUCCUACAAUGACUUGGAAGGACCAAUCCCAAUAACACGACUACUACAAAAUGCUUCAGCAAGUUGGUUUCUCCCCAAUAAAGAUCUGUGUGGUAAUCUCUCUGGCAUGCCACCUUGUUAUUCAACUCUAGUAGAUGGUCACCAUAAACGAAAGAUAUUUGGUGUGCUUUUUCCAAUUGUUCUUGUGGUGGGUUUCGGCAUUGUUGGUGCAAUUGUUGUCGUAAUAAUGCUUAGUCCAAACAAGAAUAAACCACAAGAAAGUGUUACUCCUGAAGCAAGGGGACUAUUCUCUGUUUGGAAUUUUGAUGGAAGAUUAGCAUUUGACGAUAUUGUAAGGGCAACAGAAGACUUCGAUGAUAAGUACAUCAUUGGAACAGGAGGAUACGGCAAAGUCUACAAGGCACAACUCCAAGACGGGUAACUAGUUGCUAUGAAGAAGCUUCAUCAGACCGAAGACGAGUUGGAUGACGAAAGAAGAUUUCGUAGUGAGAUGGAAAUCUUAUCGCAGAUCCGACAACGAAGCAUCGUCAAAAUGUAUGGAUUCUGCUCCCAUCCAGCGUAUAAAUUUCUUGUCUACAACUACAUUCAGCAGGGCAGCCUCCAUAGGAUACUUGAAAAUGAGGAGCUAGCAAAGGAAUUCGAUUGGCAGAAGAGAAUUGCUCUUCCAAAUGAUGUGGCUCAAGCAAUAUCUUAUUUGCACCACGAAUGCAGUCCACCUAUAAUCCAUCGAGAUAUCACAAGCAACAACAUCUUACUUGAUACAACCUUCAAGGCUUUUGUCUCGGAUUUCGGCACAGCAAGGAUUCUUAAGCCAGAUUCAUCAAACUGGAGUGCACUUGCAGGAACAUACGGCUACAUAGCUCCUGAACUCUCAUACACAUCUGUUGUGACGGAGAAAUGUGAUGUCUAUAGCUUUGGUGUGGUUGUGCUAGAGCUAUUGAUGGGGAAGCAUCCAAGAGAUCUAUUAGACGGUAGUUUGUCGAGCGGGAAACAAGCUAUGCUGGUGAAAGAUAUUCUAGACCAACGGCCAACAACACCAACAACAACAGAAGAGAAUAGCUUAGCUCUGCUCAUCAAGCUAGCCUUUUCUUGCUUGGAAUCUUCACCACAAGCAAGGCCUACCAUGCGGGAGGCCUACCAAACACUCAUCCAGCGACCCUCUUCUAGCUCAUGCCCCAUGACUUUCAGCACACUUACAUUACAACAAGUAAAGUAUGCAUGUUGAUAUAUGAUCGGAAUUCUAGUGAGAAGCCAGGGUCCAUGGUAGCGGAAGCCGAUUUAGGUUUAUGUUUUGCCUCGAGUCACUCAUAUACCAUCUAUAUAUGUUGAAGUCUGUAAUCGUGUGUCAUUUUUCCGCAUGGAUGAGAAAAGAAAAUAGUGGAAGAUGGAUAACAGACAGCCCAGCAACAGCUGCCAAAGGGAUGUGCUAUCAUCCAAACAAGAGCUUGGAACUUCCAGUAGAGAAAGAUGGAAACACUCAAGAAUAAUCAUCCAGUAGCAACUUAAGACACUGAAAAUUUUGGCAUGGGGAUACCUAAGUGAAAUAGUUGGCUUCUUCUGGUUA